GCUGUGGCUCCGUGGCAGAGCAUCUGCUUUGCAUGCAGAAGGUCCCAGGUUCAAUCCCCAGGCAUCUCCA